rnacentral:rRNA from 1 species
UACGGAGGAUGCGAGCGUUAUCCGGAUUUAUUGGGUUUAAAGGGUGCGCAGGCGGUCUGUUAAGUCAGCGGUCAAAGCCCGGGGCUCAACCCCGGCCCGCCGUUGAGACUGGCAGUCUCGAGUUGGAGAGGAGUAUGCGGAAUGCGCGGUGUAGCGGUGAAAUGCAUAGAUAUCGCGCAGAACUCCGAUUGCGAAGGCAGCAUGCCGGCUCCACACUGACGCUGAGGCACGAAAGCGUGGGUAUCGAACAGG